GACGAACGCUGGCGGCGUGCUUAACACAUGCAAGUCGAACGGAAAGGCCCUGCUUUUGUGGGGUGCUCGAGUGGCGAACGGGUGAGUAACACGUGAGUAACCUGCCCUUGACUUUGGGAUAACUUCAGGAAACUGGGGCUAAUACCGGAUAGGAGCUCCUGCUGCAUGGUGGGGGUUGGAAAGUUUCGGCGGUUGGGGCUGGACUCGCGGCUUAUCAGCUUGUUGGUGGGGUAGUGGCUUACCAAGGCUUUGACGGGUAGCCGGCCUGAGAGGGUGAACGGCCACAAUGGGACUACGGUACGGCCCAGAAUCCUACGGGCGGCAGCAGUGGGGAAUAUUGCACAAUGGGCGGAAGCCUGAUGCAGCAACGCCGCGUGCGGGAUGACGGCCUUCGGGUUGUAAACCGCUUUCGCCUGUGACGAAGCGUGAGUGACGGUAAUGGGUAAAGAAGCACCGGCUAACUACGUG
rnacentral:rRNA from 1 species